GAGGGCCGCAACGUGCUCGAAUUUCACCUCGAGACAGAGAGGUUUCUACUGACGGGGACACCAGAUGCUACACGGGGCGAGGACUUUGUUCUCGCGCCGGCUCAGGACGCGCGGCUGGGUUUGGCCGGUGUGAUCGACAACUUUUUCGUCGUGCUGUUCUCGAGGGACGAUGAUGGCGCCUGGGUUCACCGUAUCCUGCUUAGACUCAACGAUGCCUUUCCGUUCCAUGCUGAUGCCGAUGCCGAUGCUGAUGCUGAUGGGCUCUUCGGUAUUGACAUACCCACGUACUCUGAUGAUGAGGAUGGUCUUUCGGAUGAUGACGACGACGCAACAGAAGCAAAGGUGAUCGGGUUGUCGGAGCAGUUGGAUUCCAUUUUCUUGAAGGCGGAACCGGGAGUGUUCAUGAUCAGCUUAGAGUCCGGGCAGCAUCAACGUGUGCUUGAAACGGAUCAGCACUUCUCCCGUGUUUAUCCCUAUUGUACAUUCUAUACAGCAGCUCAUAAAGUUGUUUUUAAUGAUGUACAGCAAGACUCGGAGAGCAGCAAUAUUCAAUCAGGCGAAAUAAGCAAUAUUCCAAGUGACGGAGGUGAAAACUAG
rnacentral:rRNA from 1 species